GACAGAGAGAGUUACCCACAUCGUUUGUGAAAAACUUGAUGGUGCUGACCUGGUGAACCAAAACAGAUGGGGAACAACCUGGAUCAAAAAGAAGUGGCUCGUUGAUUGUGUUGACCACUGGAAAAUUCUUCCGGAUCCAAGUUCUGUGGUACAAGAGGGUGAAAAGGUUGACUUGAAAUUUUUUUGGACCCCUGGACCGAAACAUGGCAAGAGAGAAACAACCAACAGAAACUGUGAUUAUACAGGAAACAAAAAGGCAAGAGCAGAAACUAUGAGCGUGGCAAGUCAGCGGGUGAAGAAGUCUUUGAAGUUUAGCCUGCAAAAAGUUCCCGAUGAAGCCAUAUCUCCAGAGCCAAUUACUCUGCGGAAGUUCGCAUCAGUUGCUAAAAAUCGAGUUAAAUCUGUUCAUUUCCCGAAGUCAACAAUACAUCAAACAUUGACAAGGGACAGCUUCAAGAUCUUUCUUCUCAAGUCCUACAAAGAGAUGAUACUUCAGCAAGCGGAUGGACUUUCAAUGGUACACAGCUAUGAACUUCGUCAGAUCUGGUAUGUUUGAGAGGGUGACAAUCCAGGAUGUUGUCAGAGUCACUGCUACAGCAUCAACCAAUAAAAGAGACAGGCAAAGGUUUGUUAUCAUGACAGAGAGCCUCUUUGAUGAGGACAUACCGCUGGAUGUCAAAGGUUGGCUCAAAAGCAUCAAGGAGGGAUGGCCUGAAGAAGUCAACCUGAACCAUAUCAACAUGGUCCAUUCGUGCAGUGCACUUGGCGAGUUUAUGAAUAUGAACCACUGCUUAAUCGCUGUGGAGAAGAAUGAUAUGGAAGCAUACAAUGAAAUAAAGGAGCUCAUAUCAGAACAUGAUAGCUGGGGCAAGAAAAAGCUCAAGUGGCCCGAGCUGCAGAUAAACAGAACCCAAAAGGACAGUAGAACACGUAAGGUUAUUGACUAUGAGGUGCAUGGUGCUCCUGGAUUGAUUCAUUUGAUCCGGAACACCUGGGAGCAUCCAGCAAAGGCGUACCUAGAAGAAUUUUUAGCCAUUGUUUUGAAUGAGAACAAGGAUAUUCUGGGUGAUUUGCAAAGAGCUCUACAGGAAAAAGGUUAUCUGCCACAGCAUGGGCUUCAGAUGUAGGUUUGAUCCUGCCCAUGCCGCUGAACCUCUGCUCUGUCAAUGGUCAAUUGGUGAUUGCAUAGUUCAUACUCUUAGCUGCCAAAGUUUACUCACCGAUCAGUCACACAUCACUCGCACAUAACAGUUCAAAAAUGAGAAGCCUUGCACAUAACAAUGGUUCAUGGUUCAAUGUACAGUACAGUGUAAACGAUGGCUGUUUUUGCGUUCAUGGUUGGUUAAAAUACCAUGAAGUUCCAAUAUAAUAGUGUGGGUUAAGGAGUCAUUGCACAUUAGGAUAUUCUUUUUGUGUGUUUUUGUGAACUGAAUUUGAAGAUUUUGACAAAUUUUCUGCUUGAGGUUUAUGUGUAAAUGUAUUGUAAUGAGAUUUGCCUGACCCUUA